AACAAAUCAACGGCCACGCCGAUCAGCUGCGAUGAUAUCGACCUGACCACGGUUCUUCAAUUCUUUGGCGGGCAAACAGCUCAGUUCCCGAUCAGAUACUUGGGGCUUCCCCUCGUCAUCAGUCGGAUUCGUUUGGUCCAUCUUCAGUUCAUCUUGGACCGCAUCAGGGCCAGACUCGCCGGCUGGAAAGGACGGAUGCUCACUAUCGCUGGCCGCCGUGUCCUGGUCCGGUGCGUGCUCACUGCCCUGCCAACCUUUGCCCUGACGGCACUCAAGUUUCCAACAAAGCUGCUAAAGGAAAUGGACAAAAACAGGCGUCGUUUCCUUUGGGGAAGAGAUCAAGAGCUCUCUGGGGGAAGCUGUAAGGUAAACUGGCACCGAGUCUGGUCCCCGAUCGAACUGGGAGGCUCGGAGUUCUGA
rnacentral:rRNA from 1 species